rnacentral:snoRNA from 1 species
UUGCAUCCACUGAUAGACCUGAAGCAGGCUUCUUUGGCUUCUUGGUUUGCACAGCGAUGCUAAACUGAACCUUCCUCAUAUUUCUGACUGCUAAAUGUUACAGUAGCCAGAUUAGAUUGAGGAGUACAUUU